rnacentral:rRNA from 1 species
CCUACGGGGGGCAGCAGUAGGGAAUCUUCCACAAUGGGCGAAAGCCUGAUGGAGCAACGCCGCGUGGGUGAAGAAGGUCUUCGGAUCGUAAAACCCUGUUGUUAGAGAAGAAAGUGCGUGAGAGUAACUGUUCACGUUUCGACGGUAUCUAACCGGAAAGCCACGGCUAACUACGUGCCAGCAGCCGCGGUAAUACGUAGGUGGCAAGCGUUAUCCGGAUUUAUUGGGCGUAAAGGGAACGCAGGCGGUCUUUUAAGUCUGAUGUGAAAGCCUUCGGCUUAACCGGAGUAGUGCAUUGGAAACUGGGAGACGUGAGUGCAGAAGAGGAGAGUGGAAUGCGAUGUGUAGCGGUGAAAUGCGUAGAUAUAUGGAAGAACACCAGUGGCGAAAGCGGCUCUCUGGUCUGUAACUGACGCUGAGGUUCGAAAGCGUGGGUAGCAAACAGGAUUAGAUACCCGGGUAGUC